rnacentral:lncRNA from 1 species
CAAGAAACAAGUGUCUGUAUGCCCAGAUUAGCAUUAUGCUGAGAAAUCUUGCAUAUCUUUGCCUGAAGCUUUCAGAGUCAAAAUAUAGGCUCUGACUGAAAUGUGAGAUGUGUCUAGGAGUCCGGAUUCUCAUCGGAACUUGGUUGUCUGCAGAGCCCUCCCCUGGCAAAUGACCUAGAUAACAAUAUGAUAAGAUCAUUAUGUGAAUGUAAAUCGUGUGCAUGGAUCAAACACACUGAACUCUCUGGAGGGAAUUUGAUGUUCUGAACUUCUAAGAAGAUUUAAGUGCAAU